rnacentral:rRNA from 1 species
UUGACCAAAUUGACCUCAAAUCAGGUAGGAUUACCCGCUGAACUUAAGCAUAUCAAUAAGCGGAGGAAAAGAAACUAACAAGGAUUCCCCUAGUAACUGCGAGUGAAGCGGGAAAAGCUCAAAUUUAAAAUCUGGCAGUCUUUGGCUGUCCGA